rnacentral:lncRNA from 1 species
UCAUAACCCUCGUUUUGCUAAAGUUUCUAGACAGACCACUUCUAGAGAUCUUGCCAAGUUCUUUGCCGAGCGUCGUCUUUCUCUUGUUGAUACUUUGAAGUCUCAUGUUUCUUCUGUUUGUCUUACUUCUGAUAUUUGGUCAGGGAAUGCCAAGGAGGACUACCUUAGUGUUGUUGCACAUUUUGUUUCUGCUGAUUGGGAAUUAGAGAAGAGAGUCAUUGCUCUUAGGUUGAUUGAUUGCUCCCAUUCUGGUGUUAACAUUGCUGAGCGUAUUGAACAAGUUGUUUCUAAGUUUGGUUUACAGGAUAAAAUUUUCUCUAUCACACUUGACAAUGCUUCUGCUAAUACUUCUGCCAUGUCCACACUUAUUCCCAAAUUUGUUGGUUAUCUAGGUCCAGAUCCUGAACCUCUUGAUUCUGAUUCUGAUUCUGAUAAAGCACUUGUUGGUCUUUUGCAUCAACGUUGUGCAUGUCAUAUUAUCAAUCUCAUAGUCAAGUCUGGUUUGAAGAGGAUCAAGGCUUAUCUUGAGGCUUUUAGGACUGCAAUCUCUUUUUUGAACUCUUCUAAUCAACGCAUUGCAGCUUUCCAUAACUUCUGCAUUCUCAAGGGGGUACGCCCUCGUAAGUUUGGUUUAGAUAUGGAUGUGAGAUGGAAUUCUACAUAUCUCAUGCUCAAACAUCUACUACCAUAUAAGAAUGUCUUUUCUGUCUUUAUUUCUGCUCAUUAUGUGCACAAUGGCCAGCCACUUCUGACUGAAAACCAUUGGGUAAUUGCUGAGAAAAUCUUGCUGUUCCUUGAAAUGUUUUAUGAUUCCACUGUUGCUUUAUCUGGUGUUUACUAUCCUACAAGUCCUUUGAUGUUGCAUCAUAUUAUUGAGAUUGCUGGCCAUUUGCAUGGCCAAGAUUCUGAUCUAUUGCUCAGAAAUAUUGUUGUUCCCAUGAAGCUUAAGUUUCUCAAGUAUUGGCAGAACAUACCUCUGUUGUAUUCCUUUGCAUUCAUUUUGGAUCCUAGAGCCAAGGUGAGAGGUUUUCAUAAUGUUCUCCAACUUCUUUCUCAGACAGUUGGUGUUGAUUACUCUUCUUAUUUCACUGAGGUAAGAACUCAAUUACAUAAGUUGUUUAACAAGUAUGAAAACAAGUUUGGUGCAGUUCGAUCGCAAAGGCCCGCUCAACCUUCAGCUGCUACUGGUAAGAAAAGAACGGCAUGGGGUAAGAUCUUUGGUGGUCCUGGUACAUGUGGUUCUCCUGUUCUUUCAUCUACACCUCCUAUAUCUCCUGCUUCAGAGCUGUCAUCCUACUUGGACAGUGAUACUAUUUCUUGCUAUGAUGAUGACUUCAACAUACUUAGUUGGUGGCAUGAGCACAAGCUAUCCUAUCCUAUUUUGUCCAUACUUGCUAAAGAUGUUAUGUCUGUUCCAGUUUCCAUUGUUUCUUCGGAAUCUUGUUUUAGUCUAACUGGCAGGGUGAUUGAGGAGCGGCGCCGACGGUUGCUGCCGAGACGGUGGAGAUGCUGACCUGCCUCAAGGAUUGGGAGUUGGGAGAUGCAAGGGCCCAACAUGAUGUUGAGAAGGAGGUCAAUGAACUGGAGGAAACUUACAAAAGCCCCUACCCAGACAUGGAUGAAGGCCAAGCUAG